UGCCAGCAGCCGCGGUAAUACGGGGGAUGCAAGCGUUAUCCGGAAUCAUUGGGCGUAAAGCGCCUGUAGGUUGUUUAUUAAGCCUGUUGUUAAAGACUAGGGCUUAACCCUAGAAAAGCAAUGGAAACUAAUAGACUAGAGUAUGGCAGGGGUAGAGGGAAUUUCUAGUGUAGCGGUGAAAUGCGUAGAUAUUAGAAGGAACACCAGUGGCGAAAGCGCUCUACUAGACCAUUACUGACACUCAGAGGCGAAAGCUAGGGUAGCAAAAGGGAUUAGAUA
rnacentral:rRNA from 1 species